rnacentral:rRNA from 1 species
AUUGAACGCUGGCGGCAUGCUUUACACAUGCAAGUCGAACGGCAGCACAGGGAGCUUGCUCCUGGGUGGCGAGUGGCGAACGGGUGAGUAAUGUAUCGGAACGUGCCUGGUAGUGGGGGAUAACUACUCGAAAGAGUGGCUAAUACCGCAUGAGAUCUUUGGAUGAAAGCGGGGGACCUUCGGGCCUCGUGCUACUGGAGCGGCCGAUAUCAGAUUAGGUUGUUGGUGGGGUAAAGGCCUACCAAGCCUGCGAUCUGUAGCUGGUCUGAGAGGACGACCAGCCACACUGGGACUGAGACACGGCCCAGACUCCUACGGGAGGCAGCAGUGGGGAAUUUUGGACAAUGGGAGCAAGCCUGAUCCAGCAAUGCCGCGUGCAGGACGAAGGCCUUCGGGUUGUAAACUGCUUUUGUACAGAACGAAAAGUCUCUGGCUAAUAUCUAGAGAUCAUGACGGUACUGUAAGAAUAAGCACCGGCUAACUACGUG